rnacentral:rRNA from 1 species
UACGGGGGGGGCAAGCGUUGUUCGGAAUUACUGGGCGUAAAGGGCUCGUAGGCGGCCAACUAAGUCCGACGUGAAAUCCCUCGGCUUAACCGGGGAACUGCAUCUGAUACUGGAUGGCUUGAGAUUGGGAGAGGGAUGCGGAAUUCCAGGUGUAGCGGUGAAAUGCGUAGAUAUCUGGAGGAACACCGGUGGCGAAGGCGGCAUCCUGGACCAACACUGACGCUGAGGAGCGAAAGCCAGGGGAGCAAACGGG